GUACCCGCCCCUUGAAGAAAGGAAGGAGAAGAAAAAGCAGGCCGUAUCGCGGAAGGUUACCCUUUGAGGUUGUUGACGUACAUUAGUGGGAUAUUCUUGCGCGACGGAAGGAGGUGUUCGGAAGGAAAGGCAUCAGCGAACGCCAUUUUGUGCAGCUUCUGGAUACACGCGCCAGGAGCUUUCUGUUUGCCGAUUUUUUCUGUCUAUUAUUUUUCCUUAAAAAUCCGCCAAGCUGGAGAUGUCUGGAGGAGGCGUGAUUAGGGGGCCAGCGGGCAAUAACGAUUGCCGCAUUUAUGUCGGGAAUCUGCCCCCUGAUAUCCGUACCAAGGACAUCGAGGACGUUUUCUACAAGUACGGCGCCAUUCGAGACAUAGAUCUUAAGAACCGGCGAGGAGGGCCGCCUUUCGCCUUUGUCGAGUUCGAAGACCCAAGGGAUGCUGAGGAUGCUGUAUAUGGCAGGGAUGGCUACGACUACGAUGGCUAUCGUCUCAGAGUUGAGUUUCCCCGUAGUGGACGUGGGGCAGGAGGAGGAAGAGGUGGUGGUGGAGGUGGCGGCGGAGGAAGUGGUGGUGGAGGUGGUGGUGGAGGCGGUGCUCCCCGUGGAAGAUAUGGGCCCCCAUCCAGGCGCUCAGAAUACAGAGUUGUUGUCUCUGGAUUGCCUCCAAGUGGAAGUUGGCAGGACUUAAAGGAUCACAUGCGUGAAGCAGGUGAUGUAUGUUAUGCUGAUGUUUACCGAGAUGGUACCGGUGUUGUGGAGUUUGUGCGAAAAGAAGAUAUGACUUACGCAGUACGGAAACUGGAUAACACUAAAUUUAGGUCGCAUGAGGGUGAAACUGCCUACAUUCGUGUUAAAGUUGAUGGACCAAGAAGCCCAAGCUAUGGAAGAUCACGGUCUCGCAGCCGUAGUCGUAGCAGAAGCCGUAGUAGAAGCAACAGUCGCAGCCGCAGCUAUUCCCCAAGAAGAAGCCGUGGAUCUCCACGUUACUCUCCCCGUCACAGCAGAUCUCGUUCCCGCACAUAAAUCACUUUUGUAUACAUUCUUUAUUCCAUUUUUUUUAAGUCUGUUUUAUUCAAGUUUUCUUAAGUGUUAUAAACAUUUGGCAUAGUAUCAUUAGUAAGAAAUCUGUGCUAAUGCCUGCAUUUUCCUUGUGCCCGAUGUAUUUUAACAGGUGUACAAUCUCUCCCAGCCUAGCUAACCUCUCCAGAGACUCACUGUGGGUUUUUCUUCUAUGUUUGAAAUUGUUUGGGAUUAUGGAUGAAAACCUGUGGGAAAGUUUGUUUUACCUGACUUUUCGUGUGUCUUUCUGUAGACAUAUCUGAAGAGAUGGAUUAAGGAAUUGUGGAGGAGAUUUCAAUCAUUUUAGGAUUGUCAAAAGGAGGCUUGUGGAGGAUCAGAUCAAAAAUGGAGGCCAUGGUUUGGCUUGGAGAGGGCUCAUUGGAUCACAAUCCUGGAGCUGGAUCAAUGGAUUCAUAUCAUAGGAAUGAAAUAGGAUAGGGAGGAUGAAUUGCCAGGAUUCAUGGAGCGGGAUCAGAUAACAAGGAACAUAGGAGUGGAUUCCUGCCCCAUCUAAACUGCAUUCAUGUGGAGUUUUUCCUUCCAUGAUCUCAAUUGGCAAUGCUAGAUUUUUUUUUUGUUUAUUUGACAAGUGGAGCCAUUUAAGAUGGAAGAAUUUUGUGGUGGGAUUUUUUGUUUUUGAGCAAAGUGGAGACAUCAGGCACGCUGAAGCCAUCUCCUGGGAGGAAUGCACCAAAUAGAUGGUAAAUAAAGGCUUUUGGGGUGGGAGGGUAUAUGGGGAUGUUUACUGAAACGGUGAAAUGCUAGAUUUAAAACUAAUCCAUAAUUUGCUCUAGGCAAAAGGUUGAAAGCUGGUUUUGUAGCUUUUUUUUUUUUU